rnacentral:rRNA from 1 species
CACGUAGGGUGCGAGCGUUGUCCGGAAUUAUUGGGCGUAAAGAGCUCGUAGGCGGUGUGUCGCGUCGGCCGUGAAAACCUGCAGCUUAACUGUGGGCUUGCGGUCGAUACGGGCAUCACUGGAGUUCGGGCAGGGGAGACUGGAAUUCCUGGUGUAGCGGUGAAAUGCGCAGAUAUCAGGAGGAACACCGGUGGCGAAGGCGGGUCUACUGGGCCGAUAACUGACGC